rnacentral:lncRNA from 1 species
AUAAUACUGUUAAUACCAAUCCAUAACUAAUCAACCCAAGACUGGUGUCACAACUUCACAGGCUGUAUAGGAGUACUAUAAAUAAAGGUCUGAAAGAAAUAAACACAACACUGUCUCUGGAAAUACAUGAAAGAAACAGGAAUAGUAGAUAGAGGGAGACGCCAAGGCCUGCGGACGCCUGCAAGACUACCUCGGGUCGCCUGAUGAACAAGAAACAGCAAUCUCACUGCGUUCCGAAGUCUACAGCACUGGGAUCUGCACAAAAGAGUGCAGAGUGUAGUAUCAGCACAACCGGCCCCAUGUGUAAGUGUCUAGCUUAACCUCGGCGAAGUAGUGACGAGGCUAGGACCAGACUACAAAAUAAACAUGUGCAGUUAAAUCAUAUACAACGGAAAUAGAAGCAGAUAAUUACAACUAAAGUUGGGCGGGGGAAACAUGCUGCGGGGAGUAACAUAUAACAACAGAACAACAGUAGAGAAAUGUAAGGAAUGUCAUAAAUCAAUUACCAGUAGAGAUAAGGAAAUAAGAAGAACAAGUACACAUGUAAUACCGUUGGAGGCGUGCAAGCCGAUCCCAUUUCAUAUUGUACCAUUGCAGGCGUGCAACCCGCUCCUAUUUCAUACAUUACCGUUGCAGGCGUGCAACCCGCUCCCAUUUCAUAUAGUUUCCGUUGCAGGCAUACAACCCGCUCCCAUUUCAUAUAUUUCCGUUGCAAGCAUGCAACCCGCUCCCAUUUCAUAUAUCAACACCAAUCAUAAAAGAAUCCCGGCAAGGGAACAAUCGCAUAACAACAUCCCGGCAAGGGAACAAUAAUAUCAAAACAAACAUCAUGUCAUGGGAACAAUAACACCACAUAAUAUCCCGGCAAGGGAACAAUAAUGAUAAUCCUCAGCUGAAGCACAAUAAACCAUAACGGAGUCAUAACGACUACAAUACAAGACUCAAGGGCAUACUUAACACCGUUGUAUAGAUACUCGUCACCAUGCCUAUACGUCGUACUCUAAAAUUAGCAAAUAAUACACAACUCCUAAUCCCUCAAGCUAAGGUUAGACCAAACACUUACCUCGAUGCCACGAACACAAUUCAAGCCUCAACUAUCGCUUUGC